rnacentral:lncRNA from 1 species
GGUUAUCGAACAUUUGCGAGAACCGUCGUGCUUCUUCUUAGAGCAGGAACCAGCCACCCACAAGAAGGGCCGUUCGGAGUUGUCAUCAACCGUCCGCUUCACAAAAACAUCAAGCACAUGAAAUCAACCAAAACCGAGCUCGCUACCACCUUCUCAGAAUGUUCCUUGUACUUUGGUGGGCCUCUUGAAGCCAGCAUGUUCCUGUUGAAAACCGCCGAUAAAACCAAGAUACCUGGGCUUGAAGAAGUCAUGCCAGGCCUUAACUUUGGUGCUCGAAACACUUUGGAUGAAGCUGCGGUACUUGUGAAGAAGGGAAUGCUUGAGCCACAGGACUUUAGAUUUUUUGUUGGUUACGCAGGUUGGCAGCUAGAUCAGCUCAGAGAAGAGAUCGAAUCAGAUUACUGGCAUGUCGCUGCGUGCAGCUCGGAGUUAAUAUGUGGAGCUUCACCGGAAAACUUGUGGGAAGAGAUAUUGCAGUUGAUGGGCGGUCAAUACUCAGAGCUUAGCCGGAAGCCCAAGCUGGAUAUGUAGACGUUUAUGUUUUGAAAAUGGUGCCUAGUUUUAUAAGGCUUAUUUAUAAGCCAAAUGUAUAGCUUAGCUUCAUCACUUUUGUCUUGUGUAUUUGAGAGAAUAAAGCACUUCUAUAUAUAGUUCUAUGCUAUUUAAAAAGAUUUGCUUUCUGAAAACUCCUAUGUAAUAACUAAAAAACGUCUAUCUAUGAAUUUAGUUUGCACUACUAAACCAGUAGUUCUGAAUAUACACAUUUGUUUUUACUUCUCCUAACCAAAAGAAAUGUCUUAGAAACAGAGAAACAAAAAGUUGUUGCCAUGAUCUUUUCUUGUUUCAUUGCUUCUUCACUAGGCACAUGCUCUCACUGGGAUAUCGUUCUUCUUCUUUGCUGCAGAUUUGUCAAGGCGGGACUUGCGUACAGCUUCUUGGAUUCCUCUCUCGUGAUCUUUCAUCAUAUCUUCAAUGUUACCACCAGGAGGCAUCAAAGGACCUGAACAGUGCAUUAUGUUCUUCUUGCGCAUGUAUGUCUGAAACAAACAUAUCAAGAAACAUCUCAGAAGUCAAUUGUCUAAAAGACAGAGUUAAAAGAGUUAUUACCGUUGUGGGUUUUCUUGAAGCUACAUUUUCCUUUUGGGAAGAGCUAGAUAAGUAAUCUCCCAUUGUAACAAGCACGUUGUUAGACCGGCUAGCUCUCACCUCUCCUACAUUGCUCUUAGAGCCACCAUUCUUAUUCCAUGCCGCGCUUGGAUGGAUCAUUGACUUGGUAUCAGCAAAGUGUUUUCCACUCGAUUUCUUGAACCCAAGAGGAGUGUUGAUUAAGACAUUUGAAUGGCCUGAAGCAAGGAACUCCGGUGUUAUCUUGGAGUCUCUUAAACCUCUUCUUGCAGAUUCGUGUCCACGCCACUUCACUGCUUCAGCUCUUUUCCUUCUUGCUUCUUCGUUUCGUUUCUUUGCAUCAAGUUCCUUGCUUGGAGGAUACUUAGGCAGACUUGAUAUGUGACAAGGGAGUGGCUCCGUUGUAAAAAACUAGAGAGGAUUGUGAAUGAGGAGAUAAUCAUUAAUCAGUUGGGGGGGGGGGAGGUGAAUCAAGAAAAUGAGAGAGAUCAUUUACCUCGCUCAUUAGAGUAGAAGAAGCUGAGCAUCUUGUCUCUGGUUCUACAGAGAGAAGCUUGUCAAGGAGAGCCAAAGAAGAAGAUGGUAAGUUCUUGAAAGUCUCUUGAAGCACACGCUUGUAAGGAUGUUGCGGUCUGUAACUUGUCGCCUGUGGGAACUUUGUCGUCUCCCAGAAUUCUUCUGUUGCUGAACCACACAGCUUAAAUAUAUUAUGCAUUUGCUCCACCUUCAAGAUAUUUAGUUUAAAUCAGUGGAACUAGAGGAUAAAUACAAUCAAAUCUGAAUCAAAAGAACUCUCACCUCUGUUCUUCCAGGCAUGAUUGGUUUUCCUACAAAGAGUUCAGCUAAAAUGCAACCAACGCUCCAGAGAUCAAUGGCGGGUCCAUACUCUGUAGAUCCAAGUAGAAGCUCAGGUGCUCUAUACCACAAGGUCACUACACGGCUUGUGAGCGGUUGAUCACUAUCCGGAUUAUAAAAACUAGAUAGACCAAAAUCUCCAAUCUUGAGAACUCCAUCAUUAUUCACCAAAAGAUUCGAACCCUUGAUGUCACGGUGAAGGAUUCCACGGCUAUGACAAUGCUCUAGUCCACAUAGCAGUUGUUUCAUAAAACACUUUAUCUAGAAGCAACACAUAAAAAAAAAAAGUUUUAGUGAAUUUCAUUGGCCAGAGAAGACAACAAGUUUGAUGAAAGUAGUACCUGUGGCUCAGUAAAUUUGACAUGAGGCCUGAGGGCAAGGCCAGAAAGAUCAUGCUCCAUGUACUCAAACACAAGGUGCAAGCUACCUGAUAGCUUUGAAGUGACAAUACACUGAAGCUUCAUAACAUUUGGAUGGUCUAGCUUUCUCAAAAUGUUGAUUUCUCUAGCCAUGAACCUCACACUCUCCGGAUCCAUAUUAGCAAACCUCACCUUCUUCAUCGCCACUAUUUGGCCCGUCUCAAGAUCCCUAGCCUUAUACACAAUGCUGUAAGUCCCUUGUCCUAUCUGCAAAAUACAAUGUUCCAUAUUAAUUAUUAUUACAAUACAAUAAAACCAAAUCCUAUGUGUGAUUCAUCAGACAAAUGAAAAGAGAGACUAACUUUGUCAAGCUUCUCAAAGGAAUCUGCACGGCGAGGAACCCAACCUUUGAUGGCUUCACCUGCUACAGAGGUUAACCAGUAAGGCCAUCCAGCAGCAAUAAGCUCUGCUUCUGCGCUACGAGGAACAUUCGAAAUAAUCAACCCUUCUGAGAUCCUUCUUCCUCGAUGAGACCUCGAAGGUCUCUCCACAAUGACUGUUUUACCAUCAUGACUAUCAUCUACAGGAACAAUCAAACCGCUCGCUCUUCUUCCACCACCGGAGCUUCCAUCAACGGCUUUAUGAGAGAAGUCGUCUUUAUUUGAAGGCAGAGUAGCAAGCAAUUGCACUGAGGAAGAUUUGUUCCAGUUUUCUUUCUGACGGUGAAAAGUAACGUUAUCUUCUUCUUCGGCUGCUCCUUUUGAGCAUAUGCAGCCCAUAAUAAUUAAACCUGCCUUGGUUCACACAAUCAAGAAUACAUCUAUCACCAGGGGAGAUUCAGGGAGAUAGAUUAAUCCAGAUAUAUGCAAAAUCUAUGUUUUUGCAGUCAGAAACAAAAAGGGUUUCUCCUAAACCCCAAAAUGAUGGUGAAGAAUUUUGCAAAUACAAAAGAAUCAAAGGCUGAAGGGUUUUAAGAUUCAAGAGGAAACAGGUUGUUUGUGUUCUUCUUACAUAAUCGUUUUUGCAACAGCAGCUUGUUGAAAACUGAAAAAUAAGGGAAAAUAAGGAAAAAAAAGAUAUUGUGAAUGAGAGAGAUGGAAAGCAAAAUGAUUCGAGAUAUGUUUGAGUGAGUAAAUUCAGGAAAGCCCUUGAUUCUUGGGACAAAAACGAAUCACUAGAAUAGUUCUUUCCAUUUUCUCUUUCUUAAGAAAUAGUCCAAAAACCCGUUUUGCAUGAAGGUAAGAUCGAUUUUCUCAUCAUCGUAUUUGUUUUUGAGCAUCCGAAAAUUUUUUGUUUUGCUUUGUUAGUGCUGUAAAACUAGAGAAUAUAAUUUAUGUUUAUGUAUUAUUCAUAAACAUAAGGAGCUACAAAUCAUAAUCUAAUAAAGAAAAGACAAGAUGUCGAUUCUUUCUCUCCUCACGGUCGACUCUCUCUUCCUCUAGCAUUAGGCCGGUUAUGAACCGGACCGGUUAUGAACCGGGCCGGUUAUGGACAUCCACAAUAUGAUUUAUAACACUCUCCUUGGAUGCCAUAAACAUACAGGGAUUGUAAUACACUUUAGAUGUUGCCUCAUUAAAACCUUACCAGCUUACCAGGAAAACCCAGUGGGACAAAACCAAGAUGAAGGAAAAAGAGUACAACACGUAUUACUCCCCCUGUUCUGAACAACUCGCGGCUGGCCUCAUGAACAACCAAGAUCUCAGAAUGGUUCGAAGAUGUGGCCGCGAUCGUCUGCUUCAUGGGACGCCAUGAUAUGGCCGUUCCACCAUGUGUUUUUACAUAGCCUAGAGUCAAUAACUCACUAAGUUCAAUCCCUGAAAUUAUGAAGGACCGGUACUAUGUAAAUAUGGUCAACUUUAAGCUACGGAGAAAAUGCGAUCUCGAUAACAUGGCUGAAGUAUGCAAGCAUUGUUACUACUUCAAAAGGCUUAACCAAUUUGUUCAGUUUGCUAUUAAUAAAGAGUAAAAAAAAAGGAGAGUUGUGGAAUAACAUUAUCUAUGCAUGCAUGUUUAUUUAUCUAUUUCGUCUGGUUUGCUAAUUUGCUACUUUGUUUGUUUUGCAAGUAUUUUUACUUUGUCAACUGAUGAAUUUACUUUGUUUGUUUUGCAAUUUUUUUCUCGGUUAAUUGUGUAAUGUUAUGUGCAUAUAUGUGUUGAUUAUUUGAACACAUGGACCAAACCACCUCGAGAUUGAUUUAGAUAUAAUGUAUAACAUUUUCCCCAAAAAAUGGAAUAAUAAUUAAGACGAAUAAAGAAUUCUACUAUAAAAAAAGAAAAGCGAAAUUGAAAAUAAAAACUGGAAAUUACAGAACCAACAUGAAACAAAACCAUAACAACAAAUGCAUCAUAUGUAAGGUAUCCCUCACAUAACUAAUCUUCUUGUGUCUUGUCUAUUUCGAUGAACUUAGCACAUAACUUCUUGGAAUUAGAAUUGAUGUCAUUCGGAUCAGCAUCUCCUUCCUUACGCCUAGAGAAAGAUUUUGAAACAUCUUCAGACAAAGACUUUUUGUUAUGAUCAAUGAAAACAACCUAAGAACAAAAAAAAGUUUACGUCCAAACAAUCUUAAUCAUAUAUUAGUCAAGUUUCAAAUACACAAAAUUGAUACCUUGCAGGUAGUCAGAAAGGGAUCGGUGACAAUAGAAUUGCAUGUGAUGGAGAUCUUGAAUCUAUGGCUGGUUCUUCUGUAUAUCCCGGUAGCUUGGUAAACGUUGAAAUUCUCGAGAAACCUCCAUUGACCAACCUGCAAAUUCUUAACACGAGCAAGGAAGAGCCUCUUACAGGUACAAUGUAUGUUCACUCCCUACAAUAACAAAUAAUCAUCACUUGGUUUAGUCGUUGUAAAUAGAAAGUUUGAUGCAAAGAUAGAUAACAAAAAAAAUAUAACACACCAUCUUAUCUUCGAGUAUGAACUCGUAAGUGUCUCCUUCAGGAUAGUUUGAGUGUUGUUUCCACGAAUUAAUAACUUGGACUUCAACCUUCCAAGUCGUUUUAGUAGGUUUGAGAUCGUUCAACAAAUUGAUUUUGCUGUUUGUAACCAUAGCUUUUUACCAUGAGAUGUGUCAAUCAAUAGGUUAUAUAAAGUGCGUUUGCGUGAGAAGAUACUCUGCAAUAUUCUCAAUAAGUUUUUUUUUAUAAAUAUUGUGGGUUGUAAUAUCUUUUAGUUAUAUUUUUUUCGCUGAUUUAGGUAACUAAUUACAUUGCCAACUGAUUACGUUUUAAGGAGAUUUGGAAGCAAUAAAAGAAAUUUAGGAGAUAGAUAGCGUCCAUUAAAAUAGGAGUGUGAAUGAAGUUUAGUUUAGAAAAUAAAGGAAUAAUCAGUUGGCAAUAUCUUUCAUGAAAAUCUAAAUUACAAAACGAUUUAUAGUAUCGAAAUUAUUCGUAAAAUAAUCCGCCUAAUUAAACAUGUUUAUUAAAGAGAAUUAUAGAAACAUAAUGAACAGACUGAUUAUCAAACUGAAGUACUUUUGGAGCUAAAUCACUGCAAUUAUUAAACCAAUCCAAAUAUGAAGUGCAUGAUAUGAAAAAGCUUAUAAGAAAACAAAUCAAAAGUACGUUGAUAAUAUUCUUCAAAUCUCAGUGUUUGGUUCCCAUGCAAGAGAUAUUGAAUUCCAAACAAAAUUACUUUUGGCACAACAAUCUGGAUUCCCAAUAUCUUAUACUUUAUGGUUUGCCAAAUUAUUUUCUAUCCAAACCAUAAACUGGUUGUUUUUUGUGGUCGUGGUCAAAUCUUUUUGUUUUGUGGAGAACUGAAACAUAUAAGAAACCCAUAAUACGAGAUCUGAAUAUAUAAUGAAAGUAAACAUAUAAGCCACGUACAUAAACACAUAGUCCCAUAGUCCAACUAUGUAAAAAUGUAAAACCUUAUCAUGAGUAGGCGAUGAGGAUUGCAAUGACUUUAAAAACCAGGAUAUGAACCACUUUCGCAUUUUUUGUUUCCUUGUCUCUGAGCCUCGGUUUUUAUGAUGUAAUGUGAUGUUCUUGAAUAUUUUUGAGACGUGUGGUUAUAUAGAGGUGCGAUGGUGAGAUAAUACAGCCAUUUACUUCAAAUUUAUUAUAUAUUACGACAAAUUAUGUCAAUGCAGCAUAUUCUAAAUAUAUUCUUUACGAUUUUGUGGGAUUACAAAAGUAGAUACAUGUUGUUAUAAUAUAUAGGGUUAGACCAAAACAUAAUAAAAUAAAGGAUCCAAACAACCUUUUAAAGUAGAUUUAUUUAAACUCUUUUUCUUUUAAUAGUAUUGAUAAACUAAACUAUUUUUGUAUUAAAAGACCCCGUACGGUCAUGCGGGUUACAAAUUAAAUCCGCGCAUGACGGAGUGAUUUAAAAUAAAACCUUCAAAUAUUCUUUUUUUUGGUCGGCAUAACUAUUCUCCUUUAUUUAUUUGUACUAUUCAAAAUGCUUGUAAAAAUUAUAACAUGAUAAAAAUGUAAAAUCCUUCUUUUAUGUUAUCUGCUUUCAGAGUUCAGUGUAUGUUUCUUCACGCUCCUUAAGCUAAAAGGUGUUCUUCCACAUAACACAAAACUGGUGAGAUACUGCAAACCGAACAAUUCGGUUGUAAUGAUUUAAAAAUAAGAACAAACCGAAACAAUAAAUCAAUCAUCCAUAAAAAUCGUAUGUGGUUAUUAAUUGAGCAAUCAAAAAGCAAAGAAUGUAGCUGCUAUAAAUAAAAAAAUAAAAAAAGGCAUAUUCUUUUUUUUUUCCUUUUGUUUUUCCCAUUUUGUUUGUUGUCUUUGUUCGCAUCUGUUCCUAUCAAUCGCAGAUAAUCCUCAGCCUCUCUACGUUUCUCAUCAUCGCUUCCUAACGAAUCAGACUUGACCACUCCACUCUUAACCGGACUUCCCGAGGAAAAACCCAAUCCAUGGAUCUGUGGACCCUUGACACGGCGAUCCGAAACCCAAUCUUGUCCUCGGCGAAACCGCUCUCGAGGAAACUGGGCGGCGUGGAGAUCAUCAGGUUUCAAAAGCGUAAAAUUGGGUAUCGUUCUUUGGUUGUUAGAGCUACGUCGAACAAGAGUAACGACGAUUCUUCUGCUUCUGGUAAAAAGGCUCUCCCAUUUAUCUAUCUUCUUUGUUUUGAUGAAUCGCAUGUGGUAAUGUUACUACUGUUCAUGGUGAUGUAUCAAAAAUUGGAUCUUUUCUUAGCUUUGUUCUUGAACACUAGUGAACUCUGUUUUAGCUCUAAACUUAUGCUAAUUAGAAAGUGGGGUAAUGUUUUGUGAGGAUUGUUGAUGCUCAAAGAAGUGGUAAUGCUUGAUUUCAUAAACUUUACAAUUGUGGAGCUGUUUUGUGUUCUCAAGGAGGAGAUGCUUCUCAAGAAAACAAAUCAGGUGAUUCCGCCGCUACUCCAAAGCCCUUUGGUCUUAACACGGAUUGGAGAGAGUUCAGAGCUAACUUGUUUAUGAAGGAGCAGGAAGAAAAAGCAGCAGGUGAGGGUCACAAACCAGACACAACAACAACAUCCCCUGAAGCUGAACCGAGAGCCCUUAAAUGGGCACAUCCUAUUCCUUUCCCUGAGACUGGCUGUGUUCUUGUUGCCACGGAGAAGCUAGACGGUUAUCGAACAUUUGCGAGAACCGUCGUGCUUCUUCUUAGAGCAGGAACCAGCCACCCACAAGAAGGGCCGUUCGGAGUUGUCAUCAACCGUCCGCUUCACAAAAACAUCAAGCACAUGAAAUCAACCAAAACCGAGCUCGCUACCACCUUCUCAGAAUGUUCCUUGUACUUUGGUGGGCCUCUUGAAGCCAGCAUGUUCCUGUUGAAAACCGCCGAUAAAACCAAGAUACCUGGGCUUGAAGAAGUCAUGCCCGGCCUUAACUUUGGUGCUCGAAACACUUUGGAUGAAGCUGCGGUACUUGUGAAGAAGGGAUUGCUUGAGCCACAGGACUUUAGAUUCUUUGUUGGUUACGCAGGUUGGCAGCUGGAUCAGCUCA